UUUUUGGUCCAACAGUUUCGG
rnacentral:piRNA from 1 species